rnacentral:rRNA from 1 species
CGGAUCUCUUAAAGCUGUUCUCAGUUCGGACUGCAGUCUGCAACUCGACUGCACGAAGCUGGAAUCGCUAGUAAUCGCGAAUCAGAAUGUCGCGGUGAAUACGUUCCCGGGUCUUGUACACACCGCCCGUCACACCAUGGGAGUCGGAAAUGCCCGAAGUCAGUGACCUAACCGAAAGGAAGGAGCUGCCGAAGGUGGAGCCGGUAACUGGGGUGAAGUCGUAACAAGGUACC